CUCAGAAGCAAAUGCUAAACAUCAUUGAUGU
rnacentral:piRNA from 1 species